rnacentral:rRNA from 1 species
GCGAUUAAAGGAGUAAUCCGCUAUGAGAUGGGCCCGCGGCGCAUUAGCUAGUUGGUGAGGUAACGGCUCACCAAGGCGACGAUGCGUAGCCGACCUGAGAGGGUGAUCGGCCACAUUGGGACUGAGACACGGCCCAGACUCCUACGGGAGGCAGCAGUGGGGAAUAUUGCACAAUGGGGGAAACCCUGAUGCAGCAACGCCGCGUGAGUGAUGACGGCCUUCGGGUUGUAAAGCUCUGUCUUCAGGGACGAUAAUGACGGUACCCGAGGAGGAAGCCACGGCUAACUACGUGCCAGCAGCCGCGGUAAUACGUAGGUGGCGAGCGUUGUCCGGAUUUACUGGGCGUAAAGGGAGCGUAGGCGGAUUUUUAAGUGAGAUGUGAAAUACUCGGGCUUAACCUGAGUGCUGCAUUUCAAACUGGAAGUCUAGAGUGCAGGAGAGGAGAAGGGAAUUCCUAGUGUAGCGGUGAAAUGCGUAGAGAUUAGGAAGAACACCAGUGGCGAAGGCGCUUCUCUGGACUGUAACUGACGCUGAGGCUCGAAAGCGUGGGGAGCAAACAGGAUUAGAUAUCCUGGUAGUCCACGCCGUAAACGAAGAAUACUAGGUGUAGGGGUUGUCAUGACCUCUGUGCCGCCGCUAACGCAUUAAGUAUUCCGCCUGGGGAGUACGGUCGCAAGAUUAAAACUCAAAGGAAUUGACGGGGGCCCGCACAAGCAGCGGAGCAUGUGGUUUAAUUCGAAGCAACGCGAAGAACCUUACCUAGACUUGACAUCUCCUGCAUUACUCUUAAUCGAGGAAGUCUCUUCGGAGACAGGAUGACAGGUGGUGCAUGGUUGUCGUCAGCUCGUGUCGUGAGAUGUUGGGUUAAGUCCCGCAACGAGCGCAACCCUUAUUGUUAGUUGCCAUCAUUAAGUUGGGCACUCUAGCGAGACUGCCCGGGUUAACCGGGAGGAAGGUGGGGAUGACGUCAAAUCAUCAUGCCCCUUAUGUCUAGGGCUACACACGUGCUACAAUGGUCGGUACAAUAAGACGCAAGCCCGCGAGGGGGAGCAAAACUGGAAAACCGAUCUCAGUUCGGAUUGUAGGCUGAAACUCGCCUACAUGAAGCUGGAGUUGCUAGUAAUCGCGAAUCAGCAUGUCGCGGUGAAUACGUUCCCGGGCCUUGCACACACCGCCCGUCA